rnacentral:rRNA from 1 species
AUUGAACGCUGGCGGCAGGCCUAACACAUGCAAGUCGAACGAGUGGCGGACGGGUGAGUAAUGUCUGGGAAACUGCCCGAUGGAGGGGGAUAACUACUGGAAAAGGUAGCUAAUACCGCAUACUCUCGGAUGUGCCGAGAUGGGAUUAGCUUGUAGGUGAGGUAACGGCUCACCUGGGCGACGAUCCCUAGCUGGUCUGAGAGGAUGACCAGCCACACUGGAACUGAGGCACGGUCCAGACUCCUACGGGAGGCAGCGGUGGGGAAUAUUGCACAAAGGGCGCAAGCCUGAUGCAGCCAUGCCGGUUGUAUGAAGAGGGUCUUCGGAUUUUAAAGCGCUUUAAGUUGGUAGGCGUUACCAACAGAAUAAGCACCGGCUAACUUCGUGCCAGCAGCCGCGGUAAUUC